CCCUUCGCGGCCCGCAUAAUGGUCGUGCACAACGGACAACUGGUCGCCGACGGCAAGCCAGCCGAGGUGAUCGCCUCGCCGAUCGUGCAGGAAGCCUAUCUCGGCAUCGCNCUAUCUCGGCAUCGCGCCCGGAAAGACUGCCGCAUGAGCCAGAACACCGCACUCAGCCUCACCGGCGUUCACACCCACAUCGCUCAGUAUCACAUCCUUCACGGCGUCGAUUUCACUGUGCCGGAAGGCCAGACCACCAUGCUGCUCGNGCGGGCAAGACAACACCGCUCCGCACCAUCAGGGGCCUGUCCCCCCCCUCCGCUGGCCAGAUCGUUCUGGCGGGGCAGAACAUCGAAAAGAAAUCCACGCCGGACAUCGC
rnacentral:misc_RNA from 1 species